CACGUAGGGUGCGAGCGUUGUCCGGAAUUAUUGGGCGUAGAGCUCGUAGGCGGUGUGUCGCGUCGGCCGUGUAAACCUGCAGCUUAACUGUGGGCGUGCGGUCGAUACGGGCAUCACUGGAGUUCGGCAGGGGAGACUGGAAUUCCUGGUGUAGCGGUGAAAUGCGCAGAUAUCAGGAGGAACACCGGUGGCGAAGGCGGGUCUCUGGGCCGAUACUGACGCUGAGGAGCGAAAGCGUGGGGAGCGAACAGG
rnacentral:rRNA from 1 species